rnacentral:pre_miRNA from 1 species
GUAGUACUCCCUCCAUUCUGAAUUACUUGUCCUAGAUAUGAAUGUAUCUAGAUGUAUUUUAGUUCUAGAUACAUCCAUUUCUACGAUGAGUAAUUUGGAACGGAGGGAGUACUAG